AUAUGUACUUCUUUGUACACAAAGUGUUUAAUCUUUUGCUAUAAAAACAUUAUCAUACAACUAUAAAGGACUAACUCGUAACCAAUACUAAUAGAUGUCAUAGACAAACGCCUAGUAACUUAUUUUUUCACCUAUAAUAUCAAUCUUUGAAAAAAAUGGCGGAUAGCGAUGAUGAUAGUGUAGCGUCCUUUAAGACGGCUGAGGAGAUCAGCCCGUCGCGUGGGAAAACAAUUUUUCCUCUAAUGAGCCACGAGUUGAGCUCGCUGGAAAGGAAGCUUAAUCGAAUCGUAUACAUACAGCAUGCAGGCAGACGCGGCUUAUCACAAAGCACUUAACGAUAUGCGAGAUCAGUUGAGCAUAUCAGUGAUUGCGGAGCCUAGUUUAUAUGGACGCCACAGACCCGUAGCGGUGCUAGUGGUGGCCACGGCCAAUCAGACAUAUGUGUUCGAUAUCCAGGCACUGGCGCCUUUUUUCCCGAGUUGAAAAAGCUGCUGGAGGCUAAAUAUCCGAGAAAAGUGGUGCACUAUAGUCAUCGUAUUACCGAUCAGCUGUUCUAUAAGCACCAAAUUAAACUGACUGGAUUGAGCGACACAUUUGUGGCUCUGUGCGUAGCCCGGCAAGAUAAAAGUGCCUGCUCAUUGCCAGAAGCGAUUUCGUCAGUGCUUAAUAUUCCCCUAAGGGAACUGCUCUGCGACGAGGUCACCGGGGUAAGUGAGUCUCGCCAACUUUUCACAGCACGCCCGUUGAGCGGGGACCAGUUUUCGUUUUCUGGCCAGGAUGGCCAUACUGCAGCACCAAAUGCACGACCGGCUGA